UAAUGAGCAUAACUGUUAAAC
rnacentral:piRNA from 1 species